AACGAACGCUGGCGGCAUGCCUAACACAUGCAAGUCGAACGAACCCUUCGGGGUGAGUGGCGCACGGGUGCGUAACGCGUGGGAACCUGCCCUUAGGUUUGGAAUAACAGUGAGAAAUCGCUGCUAAUACCAAAUAAUGUCUUCGGACCAAAGAUUUAUCGCCUUUGGAUGGGCCCGCGUUGGAUUAGCUAGUUGGUGAGGUAAUGGCUCACCAAGGCGACGAUCCAUAGCUGGUCUUAGAGGAUGAUCAGCCACACUGGGACUGAGACACGGCCCAGACUCCUACGGGAGGCAGCAGUGGGGAAUAUUGGACAAUGGGCGAAAGCCUGAUCCAGCAAUGCCGCGUGAGUGAUGAAGGCCUUAGGGUUGUAAAGCUCUUUUACCAGGGAUGAUAAUGACAGUAC
rnacentral:rRNA from 1 species